AGUGAACGCUGGCGGUAGGCCUAACACAUGCAAGUCGAACGGCAGCACAGUAAGAGCUUGCUCUUACGGGUGGCGAGUGGCGGACGGGUGAGGAAUACAUCGGAAUCUACUUUUUCGUGGGGGAUAACGUAGGGAAACUUACGCUAAUACCGCAUACGACAUACGGGUGAAAGUAGGGGAUCUUCGGACCUUGCGCGAUUGAAUGAGCCGAUGUCGGAUUAGCUAGUUGGCGGGGUAAAGGCCCACCAAGGCGACGAUCCGUAGCUGGUCUGAGAGGAUGAUCAGCCACACUGGAACUGAGACACGGUCCAGACUCCUACGGGAGGCAGCAGUGGGGAAUAUUGGACAAUGGGCGCAAGCCUGAUCCAGCCAUACCGCGUGGGUGAAGAAGGCCUUCGGGUUGUAAAGCCCUUUUGUUGGGAAAGAAAAGCAGCAGGUUAAUACCCCGCUGUUCUGACGGUACCCAAAGAAUAAGCACCGGCUAACUUCGUG
rnacentral:rRNA from 1 species